UUCCCUCCUCAUCUCCUCCGUGAUCUUGCCCUCUUCCGAUCUGGUCACUGCCGCCCUGACGUCGCCGAUCCCCACAACCAUCUAUGCCAAAUGUGAUCGCGAUAGGGGAGGAGACUAGUCCUUGGCCGAUCCAUCGCCUUGGUCGCCAUCCGUCCACCUUCGAGCGCCGCUGAAGCCACCUCGACACCAGGUGAUGCUGUUGCCGGAGGAAGAAUCAACGCAGGGGGGGCUAGGGCAUACUCUUCCUCUCACUGGCGGAUCGGAGCAGAGCAGAGCAGAGGCGGUUUCCAUCAGGGCUUUCUCCCCACCAGAUGGAUCGAAUCGAGUGAUCAACCUAGGUAAGCUUCCUCUGGACUCUAAUGGAUUCAAGGGUUUUGCUGCUUUGUGAUGUUCUUCCUUGAUGCUGGACUUGUGGGAAGCAUCGGAUCAACUUCUUGGUGGAUUCUUAGUGAGCAUAUCACUGCCUCUUUACUUCUUGUAGCUGUUGGGGUCUUGAUUGAGAGGUGGGGAUCGAUUUAGGUGUAUUUGUAGCUGCUGGACAGUGGGGGUAGGGCUGUGGGGUACUGGAUUUGGCUGCUCUAUCUCAAGGACUACCUUGGGAGCUAUCGGGCAGAGGUUGUUGGAUUGGGAGCUACUGAAUUUCUGUUAAAACCUCAUGGACUUGGAUUCGGGACGAGCGUCUCAACGUGGGAUUUUCGGACACGAGCUACGUAUUAAGGCGGGU